GUCCUGGCUCAGGAUGAACGCUAGCGACAGGCUUAACACAUGCAAGUCGAGGGGCAGCGGGGUGUAGCAAUACACCGCCGGCGACCGGCGCACGGGUGAGUAACGCGUAUCCAACCUGCCCAUCACUUGGGAAUAACCUUGCGAAAGUAAGACUAAUGCCCAAUGAUAUCCCACGAAGGCAUCCGAAUGGGAUUAAAGAUUUAUCGGUGAUGGAUGGGGAUGCGUCUGAUUAG
rnacentral:rRNA from 1 species